rnacentral:rRNA from 1 species
AACGAACGCUGGCGGCGUGCCUAACACAUGCAAGUCGAACGAGAAAGUUUUCUUCGGAAAACGAGUAGAGUGGCGCACGGGUGAGUAACACGUGGAUAACCUGCCCUAUGAUCUGGGAUAACACUUCGAAAGGGGUGCUAAUACCGGAUAAGCCCACACAACCUUCGGGGCGAGUGGGAAAAGAUUUAUCGUCAUAGGAUGGGUCCGCGGUCCAUUAGUUAGUUGGUGGGGUAACGGCCUACCAAGACCACGAUGGAUAGCUGGUCUGAGAGGAUGAUCAGCCACACUGGAACUGAGACACGGUCCAGACUCCUACGGGAGGCAGCAGUGGGGAAUUUUGCGCAAUGGGGGAAACCCUGACGCAGCAACGCCGCGUGAAGGAUGAAGGCCUUUGGGUCGUAAACUUCUGUCAGUGGGGAAGAAAUGCCAGCAAUGGUGAUGACGGUACCCGC